AUUGAACGCUGGCGGCAGGCUUAACACAUGCAAGUCGAGCGGAGAUGAGGUGCUUGCACCUUAUCUUAGCGGCGGACGGGUGAGUAAUGCUUAGGAAUCUGCCUAUCAGUGGGGGACAACAUUCCGAAAGGAAUGCUAAUACCGCAUACGUCCUACGGGAGAAAGCAGGGGAACUACGGACCUUGCGCUAAUAGAUGAGCCUAAGUGGGAUUAGCUAGUUGGUGGGGUAAAGGCCUACCAAGGCGACGAUCUGUAGCGGGUCUGAGAGGAUGAUCCGCCACACUGGGACUGAGACACGGCCCAGACUCCUACGGGAGGCAGCAGUGGGGAAUACUGGACAAUGGGGGGAACCCUGAUCCAGCCAUGCCGCGUGUGUGAAGAAGGCCUUAUGGUUGUAAAGCACUUUAAGCGAGGAGGAGGCUACUUUAGUUAAUACCUAGAGAUAGUGGACGUUACUCGCAGAAUAAGCACCGGCUAACUCUGUGCCAGCAGCCGCCGCGG
rnacentral:rRNA from 1 species